rnacentral:rRNA from 1 species
GACGAACGCUGGCGGCGUGCCUAAUACAUGCAAGUCGAACGCUUCUUUCCUCUCGGGUUCUUUCGCUCAAAUGGAAAGAUGAGUUGCGGACGGGUGAGUAACACAUGCGUAACCUACCCAUCAUACGGGGAUAGCACUUGGCAACAGGUGGUAAUACCUCAUAACUGUUUAUUCCUCAUGGCAUAAUAGUUAGAGGCGCUUUCUGGGGUCGCUGAUGAGUUGACCCGCGGUUCAUUAGCUAGUUGGGGUGGUAACGGAUCACCAAGGCCACGAGGCAUAGGGGACAUGAGAGGGGGAUCGGCCAGACGGGGAAUGAGACAGGGCCGAGACACCUAAGGGAGGCAGCAGUAGGAAAUCUUAGGCAAUGGACGAGAGUCUGACAGAGCACAGCCGCGUGAGUGCAGAUGGUGUUAGGAUCGUAGAACUAUGUUGUUAGAGAAGAACAAGGACGUUAGCAACUGAAAGGACAAUGGCGGUACCUAAGCAGAAAGCCACGGCUAACUACGUG